CCUGUGCUUUUCCUUCUCUAAUCAGCUGUGCGGUUUCUCCGGUGAUGGUUGCUUCCGCUGCUGCUCGGUCCAGCCGCCACCGUCGGGGCCGCUCUCCUGGUAUUCGAGCCGUUGUUAUUGCCCGUGUCUGCCGUGCUGCUGGCCGUCUUUCUUCGCUGGAUUUUCCGUCACCGGCAAAUGCUGGUGUGCGUGGCCAGCUGGCUGAUUCGGGAUGCCGUGUCCGGUCCGGGGCUCGCCGGCCAUUUCGUUCUUCCCGGACUGGUGUGCACCAAUUAGAUUCGCGGCGAGAUGUUAAUGUGGACGUCGAUAGUCGCCGUCAAGAGAUUUCAUUAGGGAAGCGGCCUGUGGAUUGUACCAUUGGUGAGUGCUCUCGAUUCUUGCUGCGUGCAUGGGAGUGCCUGUAUGUGCCUCUGGCUGCUUUGCUAUGUUUCUUCUUGUUGGUUUGAUUGUUGUCUACCGUUAGUGCGGGCUCUUCUUCAGCGGUCGCUGGGUCUUUCCCGGCUGUUUGGCUUCCAGCGUGCGACCUGGUUGUUUUUUAUUUCUUCCUUUCUUGCUUAGUUUACUUAUUUCAUGCCUGUGGUGUUGUUCCAUCUAGCCAUUUGGUGUUGUGCUUAUUGGUAGGAUUCUAAUGUGGUCCAUCUAAUGGUUUCUUGCAAACACUUCGCCUGUCGAAGUGGUUGACGGAUCGAGUAUUUGUGUUUCUGGUUUUCCUGCUGGUGUUCAUCUUUAUGGCUCUUUGGUUGGUGCUACGACUUACCGUUGCCAUCCAAGAGUGGUGCCCUUAUGUGCCGCCGGUAUCUUUGGUUGGCCUACUUCUCUUGGUAAGUCCAAUUUUCUAAAUAUGCAUGUGCUUCUCUUGGGUUUUGUGGUGUUCUUUUAGGAUUGGUUCUAAUUUGUGUACUUGUUUUUCAUUUGAGUGAUGCCUACUCCUGUUACAGAGCACUCUCGUGUUGUGUGUGCUCGUCGUAAGCGGACUUUGGUGCGAUCGUACUGGUCGGGCCGGAAAAGAGGUGUUUUUUUGGUCGUUGUUCUUAUUCUUCUCCGGACGCUGAUGCAUGUGGUCUUAUGUUUUUUCUUUCUAUUUCCAAUAUGUGGGAUGCAACCUCCGUUUUCUAAAGAUUACAUCCAACUGCUUAAGGCUACUUUUAGGGGGCGUUCGUAUUAUGGUGGACCAGAUUUGUGCUGCCGGAAAUGUGGGGCUUUUUUUUAUCCUGAAAUUGUCGCCGCCCUGAUAAAUAUGCUAAAUACACAUCACCGUUUGGUGGACACGUUCAGAAUUGCUCGAUAGAGUCUGCACCCCUGGUGUUUCUAAGGUGUCCAUUCAUUUUUUUGGUGAUGACGGUGGUGCUCAUGGUACGCGUUUUUCUGGUCCUACUGCUUCUGAGGUUGCGGCGCUCAUUGUUGGUGACUUGACGCCUGAAUGUAGAAAUUUUGAUGUGGUUGCGGAAACACGUUCUGGUUCAUUGAAGCAUGUAUCUUCACUGAAUUGCAAUCUUAUGGCUUUGCAAUAUCCUAUACUAUUUCCAUAUGGUGAUAAGAGUUAUCAUCGUGGUAUUAGAUAUGUUGAUGGUAAUGAACAUUUGAUUGUUUCCCAAUGCAACUGUGUUAGUUGUGGACACUUGGAUAGCGACAAUGUUGACCGUGAUUUGGAGGAUGGGGAUGUCACCCGUGGUCAGAUUACUAUGUUGGAGUACUACAAAUACUAUGCUCACUAUCGUGAAGGUGAAAUUAAUCCUUAUACAAGUUGCAGUUGUUUGAGCUAGCAGAUUGCCGUUAAUGCAUAUUCUUGUGUAGAGGCUGGUCGGUUGGAGUACCAUUUCCAUAAACAAGAUAAACUUCAGUUUAUCGGGGCAUAUCUGAUGCAAUGGGUGUACAAUAAUAAGUGUGCUUGCAUGAAGAAUGAUUGUUGUUCCAAGUGCUUUCCAAAGCCAUUUAGUGAUGAUACAAUGGUUGAUCGUGUUGGCUAUCCGGUUUACCGUCGUUCUGAUAACGGGCUUUAUGUGCUCAGACAGAAAGACUUACUUUAUUUGGGAAAUCAAUGGGUUGUUUCAUACAACAUGAAAUUGUUGAAGAGGUUUGACGCCCACAUAAAUGUGGAGUGGUGUAACAGGACAAAUUUAUUGAAAUACCUGUUUAAAUAUCUUACAAAGGGUCAUGAUGUGGUUCAUAUGCGUUUCUACGCUCAAGAUAAACCUAGCGGUGUUUUUACUGUGCCUUCUCCUACUGGCAGAAACGAGAUUGACGAGUACAUCAAAUGUACGUUCGCAGAUAGAUUUAGUUAAAUUUAUGUAACUUGUUGUAGUGUUGUUAUAAUUGUUGAACAUAUGGCUAGGUAUCUUUCUGCUUGUGAGGCUUUUUGGAGACUGUUUGCGUAUAAUAUUCAUGGUCGUCAACCUUCCGUCGAGAGAUUGGUUGUGCAUAUACCUAAUAUGAACAGGGUCAUAUUUGCCGAGACUGAUAACCUAGGAAAUGUUUUGGAUGAUCCUUCGGCUGCUAAAACUAUGCUUACUGAAUGGU